UACGAAGGGAGCUAGCGUUGUUCGGAAUCACUGGGCGUAAAGCGCACGUAGGCGGAUGUGUCAGUCAGGGGUGAAAUCCCGGAGCUCAACUUCGGAACUGCCUUUGAUACAGCACAUCUGGAGUCCGGAAGAGGUGGGUGGAAUUCCUAGUGUAGAGGUGAAAUUCGUAGAUAUUAGGAAGAACACCGGUGGCGAAGGCGGCCCACUGGUCCGGUACUGACGCUGAGGUGCGAAAGCGUGGGGAGCAAACAGGAUUGAGAUAC
rnacentral:rRNA from 1 species